rnacentral:misc_RNA from 1 species
UUGUAUGGUUUGUUGGGGGAGAAUGAAUCGCAGUAAAAUCCAUUGCAUGUGUUUAUCACCGGAUCUGGGGCAUCUUCUUCCUUGCACAUCACCCAGGGGACCCCCGUNUCCUGUUUGAAUAGCCAUAUUUGCUGCCCAAGUCAUGUAAUUAUAACCAGUAGCACCAAGUAACUUACUUUGUGACCCAUACUCAUUCUCGAUCUGAGAGAGUAUAAUGGGGCCACCCUGGGACUCGAACAAAUUUUCACUCUUCAUCAAGCCCACAAUCUUCUCAGUGAACCCUUGCAUUGCUUUCUUGAAAGGCUCGUUGUCUGUUCUAAAGCUGAUGCCUGGGAC